rnacentral:rRNA from 1 species
GUUAAGCGACUAAGCGUACACGGUGGAUGCCCUGGCAGUCAGAGGCGAUGAAGGACGUGCUAAUCUGCGAUAAGCGUCGGUAAGGUGAUAUGAACCGUUAUAACCGGCGAUUUCCGAAUGGGGAAACCCAGUGUGUUUCGACACACUAUCAUUAACUGAAUCCAUAGGUUAAUGAGGCGAACCGGGGGAACUGAAACAUCUAAGUACCCCGAGGAAAAGAAAUCAACCGAGAUUCCCCCAGUAGCGGCGAGCGAACGGGGAGCAGCCCAGAGCCUGAAUCAGUGUGUGUGUUAGUGGAAGCGUCUGGAAAGGCGCGCGAUACAGGGUGACAGCCCCGUACACAAAAAUGCACAUGCUGUGAGCUCGAUGAGUAGGGCGGGACACGUGGUAUCCUGUCUGAAUAUGGGGGGACCAUCCUCCAAGGCUAAAUACUCCUGACUGACCGAUAGUGAACCAGUACCGUGAGGGAAAGGCGAAAAGAACCCCGGCGAGGGGAGUGAAAAAGAACCUGAAACCGUGUACGUACAAGCAGUGGGAGCACGCUUAGGCGUGUGACUGCGUACCUUUUGUAUAAUGGGUCAGCGACUUAUAUUCUGUAGCAAGGUUAACCGAAUAGGGGAGCCGAAGGGAAACCGAGUCUUAACUGGGCGUUAAGUUGCAGGGUAUAGACCCGAAACCCGGUGAUCUAGCCAUGGGCAGGUUGAAGGUUGGGUAACACUAACUGGAGGACCGAACCGACUAAUGUUGAAAAAUUAGCGGAUGACUUGUGGCUGGGGGUGAAAGGCCAAUCAAACCGGGAGAUAGCUGGUUCUCCCCGAAAGCUAUUUAGGUAGCGCCUCGUGAAUUCAUCUCCGGGGGUAGAGCACUGUUUCGGCAAGGGGGUCAUCCCGACUUACCAACCCGAUGCAAACUGCGAAUACCGGAGAAUGUUAUCACGGGAGACACACGGCGGGUGCUAACGUCCGUCGUGAAGAGGGAAACAACCCAGACCGCCAGCUAAGGUCCCAAAGUCAUGGUUAAGUGGGAAACGAUGUGGGAAGGCCCAGACAGCCAGGAUGUUGGCUUAGAAGCAGCCAUCAUUUAAAGAAAGCGUAAUAGCUCACUGGUCGAGUCGGCCUGCGCGGAAGAUGUAACGGGGCUAAACCAUGCACCGAAGCUGCGGCAGCGACGCUGAUGCGUUGUUGGGUAGGGGAGCGUUCUGUAAGCCUGCGAAGGUGUGCUGUGAGGCAUGCUGGAGGUAUCAGAAGUGCGAAUGCUGACAUAAGUAACGAUAAAGCGGGUGAAAAGCCCGCUCGCCGGAAGACCAAGGGUUCCUGUCCAACGUUAAUCGGGGCAGGGUGAGUCGACCCCUAAGGCGAGGCCGAAAGGCGUAGUCGAUGGGAAACAGGUUAAUAUUCCUGUACUUGGUGUUACUGCGAAGGGGGGACGGAGAAGGCUAUGUUGGCCGGGCGACGGUUGUCCCGGUUUAAGCGUGUAGGCUGGUUUUCCAGGCAAAUCCGGAAAAUCAAGGCUGAGGCGUGAUGACGAGGCACUACGGUGCUGAAGCAACAAAUGCCCUGCUUCCAGGAAAAGCCUCUAAGCAUCAGGUAACAUCAAAUCGUACCCCAAACCGACACAGGUGGUCAGGUAGAGAAUACCAAGGCGCUUGAGAGAACUCGGGUGAAGGAACUAGGCAAAAUGGUGCCGUAACUUCGGGAGAAGGCACGCUGAUAUGUAGGUGAAGUCCCUUGCGGAUGGAGCUGAAAUCAGUCGAAGAUACCAGCUGGCUGCAACUGUUUAUUAAAAACACAGCACUGUGCAAACACGAAAGUGGACGUAUACGGUGUGACGCCUGCCCGGUGCC